UACGGGGGGGGCAAGCGUUGUUCGGAAUUACUGGGCGUAAAGGGCUCGUAGGUGGCCAACUAAGUCAGACGUGAAAUCCCUCGGCUUAACCGGGGAACUGCGUCUGAUACUGGAUGGCUUGAGUUUGGGAGAGGGACGCGGAAUUCCAGGUGUAGCGGUGAAAUGCGUAGAGAUCAGGAAGAACACCGGUGGCGAAAGCGUUCUGCUAGACCUGUACUGACACUGAGGGACGAAAGCUAGGGGAGCGAAUGGG
rnacentral:rRNA from 1 species